UGUGGGGGUAGAUGUUAGACGUGGAAGGGACCCUAGAGAGCCUUGACUGAGGACUGAGGGCCUCCUUUGUUGCCCAGGCUGGAGUGCAGUGGCCAUUCACAGGUCGAUAAUGCAAUCAUGGUGCACACUGCAGCCUUGAACUUCUGGGCUCAUGUGAUCCUUCUGCCUCAGCCUCCCAAUGCUAUCCUUAUCAUACAUAUCCUGUGAAGAUAAAAUAUCUAUCGAAGAUUCUUUGAGCACCUUGGGCCAGAAGAGCUACAGAAAGCUAAGGUAUAGUUAUUUUCAUAUCCACGACUUCAUUUGCCUUUUCCCUUGUUGUAGCCUCUCUGGAAAUUAAGCAAAGAUGCCUAUCACCUUCUGCUUAAUAAC